AUUGAACGCUGGCGGCAGGCUUAACACAUGCAAGUCGAGCGGAGAUGAGGUGCUUGCACCUUAUCUUAGCGGCGGACGGGUGAGUAAUGCUUAGGAAUCUGCCUAUUAGUGGGGGACAACAUUCCGAAAGGAAUGCUAAUACCGCAUACGUCCUACGGGAGAAAGCAGGGGAUCUUCGGACCUUGCGCUAGUAGAUGAGCCUAAGUCGGAUUAGCUAGUUGGGGGGGUAAAGGCCUACCAAGGCGACGAUCUGUAGCGGGUCUGAGAGGAUGAUCCGCCACACUGGGACUGAGACACGGCCCAGACUCCUACGGGAGGCAGCAGUGGGGAAUAUUGGACAAUGGGGGGAACCCUGAUCCAGCCAUGCCGCGUGUGUGAAGAAGGCCUUAUGGUUGUAAAGCACUUUAAGCGAGGAGGAGGCUACUGAGACUAAUACUCUUGGAUAGUGGACGUUACUCGCAGAAUAAGCACCGGCUAACUCUGUGCCAGCAGCCGCCGUAAAAC
rnacentral:rRNA from 1 species